AGAAUUUAGCAGAGAUGCUUUAGUGCCUUCGGGAACUCUGAGACAGGUGCUGCAUGGCUGUCGUCAGCUCGUGUUGUGAAUGUUGGGUUAAGUCCCGCAACGAGCGCAACCCUUAUCCUUUGCUGCCAGCACGUAAUGGUGGGAACUCAAAGGAGACUGCCGGUGAUAAACCGGAGGAAGGUGGGGAUGACGUCAAGUCAUCAUGGCCCUUACGAGUAGGGCUACACACGUGCUACAAUGGCGCAUACAAAGAGAAGCGACCUCGCGAGAGCAAGCGGACCUCAUAAAGUGCGUCGUAGUCCGGAUUGGAGUCUGCAACUCGACUCCAUGAAGUCGGAAUCGCUAGUAAUCGUAAAUCAGAAUGCUACGGUGAAUACGUUCCCGGGCCUUGUACACACCGCCCGUCACACCAUGGGAGUGGGUUGCAAAAGAAGUAGAUAGCUUAACCUUCGGGAGGGCGUUUACCACUUUGUGAUUCAUGACUGGGGUGAAGUCGUAACAAGGUAAGCGUAGUGCU
rnacentral:rRNA from 1 species